rnacentral:rRNA from 1 species
GAUGAACGCUGGCGGCGUGCCUAAUACAUGCAAGUCGAGCGAACAGAUGAGGAGCUUGCUCCUCUGACGUUAGCGGCGGACGGGUGAGUAACACGUGGAUAACCUACCUAUAAGACUGGGAUAACUUCGGGAAACCGGAGCUAAUACCGGAUAAUAUAUUGAACCGCAUGGUUCAAUAGUGAAAGACGGUUUUGCUGUCACUUAUAGAUGGAUCCGCGCCGCAUUAGCUAGUUGGUAAGGUAACGGCUUACCAAGGCAACGAUGCGUAGCCGACCUGAGAGGGUGAUCGGCCACACUGGAACUGAGACACGGUCCAGACUCCUACGGGAGGCAGCAGUAGGGAAUCUUCCGCAAUGGGCGAAAGCCUGACGGAGCAACGCCGCGUGAGUGAUGAAGGUCUUCGGAUCGUAAAACUCUGUUAUUUGGGAAGAACAAAUGUGUAAGUAACUAUGCACGUCUUGACGGUACCUAAUCAGAAAGCCACGGCUAACUACGUG